CUGGCCGCUUGUCUUCUGACUGGUUUCUCUCCAAAGAGAGAAUAGAUGAGAAAACUAAGGCACAGAGAAAAGUUUGGCUUGCCCAUUUCCCAACAGUGAGAGAGCCACAGAAUCAAGAUUCAAAUCCAGGCCACCAGCCUCUAGAGUUUGAGUUUUUAACCAUAAUACCAUCUUGUCUUCUUAUAAGGGAUGCUUGAGAAGUAUUUGUUGAAUGAAUGGUUCUUCCUGUUUCACAGAAGAAGAAACUCACUUUUUGCUAAGUCUCACAGCUUGCAGGAUCAUAACCACAGCCUGUAAAAUUAUUGUUUUGUUAUUGCUCUAAAAUAUACACAACAUAAAAUUUACCCUUUUAACCAUUUUUAAGUGUACCGUUCUGUGGCAUGAAGUACAUUCAUUUACAUUGCGAUGCAACCAUCACCACCAUUAAUCUCCGGGACUUUUUCUUCUUCCCCAACUAAAACUCUGCACCCAUUAAACUCCUCAUUCCUAUAAAAUUCCUAGCAAGGAGAAAUGCAGGAAGCCAGCUGUGGGAAGUCAUCUGAGAGAAGUGAUUAAGAAUUCCUGCCCUUGGCCGGACACGGUGGCUCAUGCCUAUAAUCUCAGCACUUUGGGAGGCUGAGAGGAGCGGAUCAUGAGGUCAGGAGAUCGAGACCAUCCUGGCCAACAUGGUGAAACCCCAUCUCUACUAAAAUACAAAAAAUUAGCUGGGCAUGGUGGUGUGCGCCUGUAGUCCCAGCUACUUGGGAGGCUGAGGCACUUGAACCCGGGAGGUGGAGCUUGCGGGGAUUAGAGACAGUGAGGAAAGAAAAGGUUGAUAAGAGAACAAGUUAACUGCGAGAUAACAAGUAUUCACUAACAGGAGGACGAGAAAAUACACACACAUGUCAGAAACACAAAACAGUGUUGGAACACAGGACAACGCCUCUGUGGGGCAAUUCUUCGAGGUCAGUAGAAACUAAAAGUCUAGAUUGAGCCUGGAGUGGCUGGGGAGGGGAGAGGAAGAAAAUCCCUGGAAAUGAGCUUUACCGUUCAGAUCUGAAGCGGAAAUUUUAAGUUUCUUUAUCACAGAGACUAUUUCUCCAACAGCAACUCUGGCACAGAUUUGCCCCUUUCAAAAACCUGGCAAGUGGUUUCUUUUUGGGGGUGUUGAAAAUGUCCUGGAAUCAGACAGUGAUGUUGGUUGCACAAACUUGGAAAUGCACUAAAAACCACUGAAUUGUACACUUUUAAAGAGUGAAUUUUAUGGUAUGUGAAUUAUUUCUCAAUUUUUAAAAUUCUUAAAACACAUGCACAGAAAUCCUGGCCAGAACCGUUCAGUCGAGGUGAUGCUAUGGCUCGUUUCUUCUGUAAAUGCUUCUUGGGGAGCUGUGCCAUGUGAUUCAAUCCUGCAGUUGAUGAUGGAGGCCGGUGCCAUCUUCGCUCCAGCAACGUUUCCACGUUGAGUUCUGCCAGUUCUCAUUCUCACGUUCACCUCUGGCCUCUCUUCGCCACCUCAAGGGCAGAGUCUGCAGACCUGGUGG
rnacentral:lncRNA from 1 species